CCCACAUUUCACAAACACAAAUACAUUUUCCUUCCCUUGGCCGAGACAUUCACCAAUCCUAAAUAUAUUCCUAACCUUUCCAUAUAUCCAUACACAUCCUAGACACUUGUGCCGCAACAAAGAGAAGAAGGAGGACCCUUAGACGUGCUUGCCAUUCAAGUUGGAUUGUUGGAGCGUUUUUAGGUGUUUUCAUUCUUUUGUUUUCAAUGUCUAAAUUUGUUUAUCUUUGCUUUGUGAGUAUGAGGACCUAAACCCCCCUUAGCUAGGGGGAAUUCGAAACCAUGUUCAUGCUUGCAAUAUGAUUUGAUUACUUUCAGUUGUGAUUCAUAAGUUGUGAAUUCAAUUUACUUAUCCAUUUGAAUUAAAACUGAUUUGUGUAUGUUGGUUGAGAGUGCACGCUUAAUUUUCAUGCAUAAAUCUGAUGCUAGGAUAUAAAGGAGUUUCACCUAAUCGUUAUGAACUUAUAUUCACAAGUAGUAAAGGUUGCUCGUCAUAACCGUGUUAAGUAAAUUCUUGGCAUAAGUUUCAUGCAAUUCAUAGUUACAAGUGUUUCGUCAAUGCUUAUGAUGUUCAUAGAACUUAAUGAUUCUUGCCUGUAUCUCUAUUAUGCA
rnacentral:lncRNA from 1 species